CCGCGUUCCUGCCGCUUACCAUUGACUUCCUUUGAAUUCUUUGGCUCGUACCAGGAAUUGUCCUUCUCUCUG